GCCGAAGUGGCGGAAUUGGUAGACGCGUCGGACUCAAAAUCCGGUGGGGCUUCAAACCCCGUGGGGGUUCGACUCCCCCCUUCGGCA
rnacentral:tRNA from 1 species